UAGGGAAUCUUCGGCAAUGGGGGCAACCCUGACCGAGCAACGCCGCGUGAGUGAAGAAGGUUUUCGGAUCGUAAAGCUCUGUUGUAAGUCAAGAACGAGUGUGAGAGUGGAAAGUUCACACUGUGACGGUAGCUUACCAGGAAGGGACGGCUAACUACGUGCCAGCAGCCGCGGUAAUACGUAGGUCCCGAGCGUUGUCCGGAUUUAUUGGGCGUAAAGCGAGCGCAGGCGGUUUGAUAAGUCUGAAGUUAAAGGCUGUGGCUCAACCAUAGUUCGCUUUGGAAACUGUCAAACUUGAGUGCAGAAGGGGAGAGUGGAAUUCCAUGUGUAGCGGUGAAAUGCGUAGAUAUAUGGAGGAACACCGGUGGCGAAAGCGGCUCUCUGGUCUGUAACUGACGCUGAGGCUCGAAAGCGUGGGGAGCGAACAGGAUUAGAUACCCUGGUAGUCCACGCCGUAACGAUGAGUGCUAGGUGUUGGAUCCUUUCCGGGAUUCAGUGCCGCAGCUAACGCAUUAAGCACUCCGCCUGGGGAGUACGACCGCAAGGUU
rnacentral:rRNA from 1 species